rnacentral:rRNA from 1 species
UACGGAGGAUCCGAGCGUUAUCCGGAUUUAUUGGGUUUAAAGGGUGCGCAGGCGGGAGAUUAAGUCGGCGGUGAAAUUUUGCAGCUCAACUGUAAAAGUGCCUUCGAAACUGGUUUCCUUGAGUGUGGAUGAAGUAGGCGGAAUUUGUGGUGUAGCGGUGAAAUGCAUAGAUAUCACGAGGAACUCCGAUUGCGCAGGCAGCUUACUAAACCAUAAUUGACGCUCAGGCACGAAGGCGUGGGGAUCAAACAGGAUUAGAUACCCCGGUAGU